ensembl:lncRNA
UUAAACCCGUCGUAAAUGGGGGACGUGUGGCCAUUUUCACGUCUGCAUGUGUAUGGUUUUCCCCGUGUCAAAGGGAGAGGAGAAGCGAGACCCAAAAGGGGGUGCAGAUUUUGCUUUCUCUAAGUAGAGGUAGAAAUAAGCUUGACCUAAGCAGCUUGCUGUUUUCAUUUGAUGUUCCAUUUUUAAAAAGCAAUAAUAUUUUGUGCAGCUGGGUGGAAAGGACGUUAGCAGCUCCUGUAGGUCUAAGAGAAUCUGCUUUGUGAGUCAGAAACGCGUGGAAGUGCAUUUCCCGAAUGCCAGGUUGGCUUAGGUGGUGCUGCAGCAAACAGCAUGCGCAGUGCACCUACAGGUUUUACCAGGGCAAGGCUGUAAUGAAGAUGUGAUAGUCAUCACGCGUGAUAGAGUGACAUCUGGUGUGAGGCACGAGGUGCUGUGUGCCGCAGAGCCCUGCUAAGGAAGCUUCUGGUAAAUGUGGAAAACAAAAUCAGUGGUUAUGUAAUGCCUGGAGAGGAAAGAGAGCCUGCUUUGAACUGACAACAGCCUUGUCAGCUUGAAUGCUGAAGCUAGAAAUAUCCUGUCAGAAAUAUCAUCUUUAACAUUGGAGCCCUUCGCUCUGGGAAGGGGAGGAACCAGACACUUUGGCAUACAACCGCCGUGCAAUGGUGCAGGACCACUGGCAACAGAAGGUUUCUGUCCCAGAUUUGGUGUUCCUUAUUGGAUAAAAGGUUGUAUGUUUCCAAGCAUCGUAUGCGUUCCUCAAACUCCUCCUUGCAAAAGGCUGAUGUCAGAUGCAUCUUUUCACAUGUGGAAAGCGGAUUCAGAGGAGGACACAGAUGAAGAUCUCUGGACUUUUGAGCAGCUUCUGAGAUGGAAGAUGGAAACUAAAAUUGAAUUGCAACAGCAGUUUUGAAGAGGAAUGAAUCCCACUGCCUGAGAUCAGCUCCUAGGAAAGGAAGCACUGGUUUGUAAGGCAAGAUGAAGUCUAUAUUUAAUCUUAUUUCCCAGGACUGGAAACCCUCAUAACU